CCUACGGGGGACAGCAGUGGGGAAUAUUGCACAAUGGGGGAAACCCUGAUGCAGCGACGCCGCGUGAGUGAAGAAGUAUUUCGGUAUGUAAAGCUCUAUCAGCAGGGAAGAAAAUGACGGUACCUGACUAAGAAGCCCCGGCUAACUACGUGCCAGCAGCCGCGGUAAUACGUAGGGGGCAAGCGUUAUCCGGAUUUACUGGGUGUAAAGGGAGCGUAGACGGCGGAACAAGUCAGAAGUGAAAACCCGGGGCUCAACCCUGGGAGUGCUUUGGAAACUGGCGAACUAGAGUGCGGGAGGGGUAAGCGGAAUUCCUAGUGUAGCGGUGAAAUGCGUAGAUAUUAGGAGGAACACCGGUGGCGAAGGCGGCUUACUGGACCGUAACUGACGUUGAGGCUCGAAAGCGUGGGGAGCAAACAGGAUUAGAUACCCUAGUAGUC
rnacentral:rRNA from 1 species